rnacentral:rRNA from 1 species
GACGAGCGCUGGCGGCGUGCCUAAUACAUGCAAGUAGAACGCUGAAGAGAGGAGCUUGCUCUUCUUGGAUGAGUUGCGAACGGGUGAGUAACGCGUAGGUAACCUGCCUUGUAGCGGGGGAUAACUAUUGGAAACGAUAGCUAAUACCGCAUAACAAUGGAUGACACAUGUCAUUUAUUUGAAAGGGGCAAUUGCUCCACUACAAGAUGGACCUGCGUUGUAUUAGCUAGUAGGUGAGGUAAUGGCUCACCUAGGCGACGAUACAUAGCCGACCUGAGAGGGUGAUCGGCCACACUGGGACUGAGACACGGCCCAGACUCCUACGGGAGGCAGCAGUAGGGAAUCUUCGGCAAUGGGGGCAACCCUGACCGAGCAACGCCGCGUGAGUGAAGAAGGUUUUCGGAUCGUAAAGCUCUGUUGUAAGUCAAGAACGGGUGUGAGAGUGGAAAGUUCACACUGUGACGGUAGCUUACCAGAAAGGGACGGCUAACUACGUGCCAGCAGCCGCGGUAAUACGUAGGUCCCGAGCGUUGUCCGGAUUUAUUGGGCGUAAAGCGAGCGCAGGCGGUUUGAUAAGUCUGAAGUUAAAGGCUGUGGCUCAACCAUAGUUCGCUUUGGAAACUGUCAAACUUGAGUGCAGAAGGGGAGAGUGGAAUUCCAUGUGUAGCGGUGAAAUGCGUAGAUAUAUGGAGGAACACCGGUGGCGAAAGCGGCUCUCUGGUCUGUAACUGACGCUGAGGCUCGAAAGCGUGGGGAGCGAACAGGAUUAGAUACCCUGGUAGUCCACGCCGUAAACGAUGAGUGCUAGGUGUUGGAUCCUUUCCGGGAUUCAGUGCCGCAGCUAACGCAUUAAGCACUCCGCCUGGGGAGUACGACCGCAAGGUUGAAACUCAAAGGAAUUGACGGGGGCCCGCACAAGCGGUGGAGCAUGUGGUUUAAUUCGAAGCAACGCGAAGAACCUUACCAGGUCUUGACAUCCCGAUGCUAUUUCUAGAGAUAGAAAGUUACUUCGGUACAUCGGUGACAGGUGGUGCAUGGUUGUCGUCAGCUCGUGUCGUGAGAUGUUGGGUUAAGUCCCGCAACGAGCGCAACCCCUAUUGUUAGUUGCCAUCAUUCAGUUGGGCACUCUAGCGAGACUGCCGGUAAUAAACCGGAGGAAGGUGGGGAUGACGUCAAAUCAUCAUGCCCCUUAUGACCUGGGCUACACACGUGCUACAAUGGUUGGUACAACGAGUUGCGAGUCGGUGACGGCGAGCUAAUCUCUUAAAGCCAAUCUCAGUUCGGAUUGUAGGCUGCAACUCGCCUACAUGAAGUCGGAAUCGCUAGUAAUCGCGGAUCAGCACGCCGCGGUGAAUACGUUCCCGGGCCUUGUACACACCGCCCGUCACACCACGAGAGUUUGUAACACCCGAAGUCGGUGAGGUAACCUUUUGGAGCCAGCCGCCUAAGGUGGGACAGAUGAUUGGGGUGAAG